AAUCAACGCUGGCGGCGUGCCUCAGACAUGCAAGUCGAACGCGAAAGUCUCCUUCGGGGGACAAGUAGAGUGGCGCACGGGUGAGUAACACGUAGGUAAUCUACCGUUCGGAUGGGGAAUAACAACCGGAAACGGUUGCUAAUACCGCAUAAUGCAGCGGCACCUAAUGGUGACAGUUGUUAAAGCGGGGGAUCGUAAGACCUCGCGUCUGAAGAGG
rnacentral:rRNA from 1 species